rnacentral:snRNA from 1 species
GGAUGUGAAGGUGAUCUUGCUGUGACAUCUGUCACUCUGUGGGUCACCUUGAUUUAUCUAGCUGAUGUGGCUGGCUAGGCCUGUGUCCUGUCCCCUUCCUCCCUCAUGGCUUCAUGUGUGUCCCACCAGAAACUGUGUGCUCAGUUAAAAAGGACAACCUUCCCUGAGUAGAGGAGGACUGGUCUUUGGUUAGGGUAUGUGAGUAGACGAGUUCCUCUGCUAGAACCUCAAAACAAGCUCUCAAAAAAUUGGGGUGUGGUUAGAGACCAUAUGUAGGAAUAUGGCUCAGUGGUAGAGAACUUGCUCAGCAGGUCUGAGGCC